UGGGGAAUAUUGGACAAUGGGCGCAAGCCUGAUCCAGCGAUGCCGCGUGAGUGAUGAAGGCCUACGGGUUGUAAAACUCUUUUAUUAGGGAAGAUAGUGACGGUACCUAAUGAAUAAGUAUUGACUAACUAUGUGCCAGCAGUCGCGGUAAUACAUAGAAUACAAGCGUUACUCGGAUUUACUGGGCGUAAAGGAUACGUAGGCUGAUCGAUAAGCUAAGUGUUUAAUCCCUGGGCUCAACCCAGGUUCUGCAUUUAGGACUGCCGAUCUAGAGUAUGAUAGAGGACAGUGGAAUUUCUAGUGUAGGGGUAAAAUCCAUAGAGAUUAGAAGGAACACCAAAAGCGAAGGCAGCUGUCUAUGUCAAUACUGACGUUGAGGUAUGAAAGCGUGGGGAGCAAA
rnacentral:rRNA from 1 species